rnacentral:rRNA from 1 species
CUUUUGAACGUGUAUUCGUGGGAUUCAAAGAGACUUUGUCUCAUGACAUUCGCGUUUAUUUGGUGCACUUUCUCGUGUUUUGUAGGUUAACAUCGGUUUUUGAUCGUUAUAAAAUGAUUGAAGGAAUGUAGCUUCGAUUUCGAUUGAAGUGUUAUAACUUUGGUAGAUGUAACGGUUAGGAUCGAGGAUUGCAACGGAUGCCCUAAUGGGCUAUUCCCUGGCCUCUGAUACGUCGCUCGGGCGUCGAAAGCGUGCUUAUGAUAUUCUAGUUGGCGUCAAAAGGUUAGAACGCGAUUAUAUUCGUUAAGGAUGUUGACGUAAUGGCUUUAAACGA